GACGAACCGUGCAAACGUUGUUCGGAUUCACUGGGCUUAAAGGGCGCGUAGGCGGCUUGCCAAGUCAGGGGUGAAAUCUUUCGGCUCAACCGGAAAAGUGCUUCUGAUACUGGCAGGCUCGAGGGAGGUAGGGGCAGAUGGAACUUCCGGUGGAGCGGUGAAAUGCGUAGAUAUCGGAAGGAACGCCGGUGGCGAAAGCGAUCUGCUGGACCUCUUCUGACGCUGAGGCGCGAAAGCCAGGGGAGCAAACGGG
rnacentral:rRNA from 1 species